CAGAUUUCCAACGAAACCUUUUUACAAUUUGAUGUAGCUAAAAUUGUUGCGAAUCUGAACGAAGUAGGGAUUACUUUAGGUAGCAAUGAGGCUUCAAUUCAAGGGUCUAUAGUGAGCUUUAUAGAGGAUGAAAAGAAUAGGGAGAAAGAAGUAAUGAGAGAAGAUCUGAUAAGUAAUACGUUUGAUAAAGAAGAAAAUGGAAGGAGAGAAGAAGAGGGAGUGGAUAAGGCUUUGUUACAGGAAUUGUGUAAUGACAUAAUGGAUGAGGGGAUGGACUCGGGCAAGGCUUCUCUUAUGGAGUGUCAGAUGUUUCCGAGCAAAAACACAUCUUCCUCGUCAAAAAAUAAAAAGAAGAAACCAAAU
rnacentral:misc_RNA from 1 species